rnacentral:lncRNA from 1 species
AAUAUUUUUUAUACUCCAUAUUCUCCUUCCAUUCCGUUUUUCAUAAAAUCUAUAUGAAUUACAGUCCACUAUCACCGCACAGCUAGUGCAGUACUGUUUCAAGACGACCAGCAGUAACCACUAGCCACAAUCGAUCGGCCGUGAGCAGACAAUAUUACCUGUUGAACGUGGACGACGACGGAACGCGACGCAGCUGAUACGAUGAGAACUGUGAAGAUGCUUUCUCGGUAGUGGUCGCGGGUACAGUUGUCGCAGUGUUUCAACUCGUUGAGCUCGAGAUGAUUUUGUUCGUGAUAUUUGCGACGGUUUCCGUUGAAGCUCAUAUUGUAUUUAUGUCAAUGUCGUCCAUCCACGUGAUCACUGCCGUCUGUCCUCGAUCGACAUAGUCGUCACUCGUCGUCGAACAACUGUCAACCAACAACAGUGUGCUUGUGCAAGUCUCGCAAUCCUGCAUUUUUGUGGAUGCCACCGGCAGGUUAUUGAUCGUUUUCGACACGUCGUACUGAUUCUUCAUUCGGAGACAACAAUAGGUCGAGACGCACACACAUGUCAUCAGCCAUCGCGAGACACCGGCAAUAAUUCGUCGGUGGGGACGGUUCGACGGGUCGAGGCGACGCUCUAUAAUAAUAAGAACCGAUCCAAAUCUCUCCUGCACAUGGUGUACUUCGGUGAAUUGACGAUCGCUACGAAAAUUUCCCGUCACUAGGCGACAGACGCGGUGGGCUCGCACACCACGACGCUGUAUUGCGUGACCAACACGACGGCAAGUGAUGGCCGUUGACGCUCACCGAACCUCACGCGUCCGUUUGGAACCUAACCUUUGAUCGUGUACAGCAUUGAAUCCGGGCAACCGAUCUUGUUUGACAACGUUUUCGGUGUGCUUCUACAUUGUAAUGCUGAAAUCAGAAACCAUAUUUAUUUUAAUAUCGAAUGACAUAUUAAGUUUUUUUUGUGUUUUUUCGAAAAUAAGUAUAGUGAUAAGACAAACGUUAUAAAUUAAAUACUUUUGAUGAUUGUAUUGAUAUUAUGAUGUAAUUAAAUCUAAGUAACGAGGCUAGGCACAUAUGACUAAUAUAUUAACGAUUUAAAAAUCAUAUAAAUUGUAUUCGCCGUCAUCUCUAAGUUUUAGAAAAUUUGUGUAGAAUGUCGUACCAUGUUUAUACUUUAUUCUGAAUAUUAAUUCUAAUAAUAAUGUUUUAUUAUGCGAUCGUUCUUUCGAUAUUAUACAACACUAAGUUUAUAAAAUAUAUCCUCAUGACUUAUGUACUAUGGUAGUAUCCGGAGUCCAGACAUUGCUUAACUCGCUAUUACAUUGAGUCGUUUGUUUUGUCAUUCAUUACUUAAUGUACUCUCCGAGAACUUUAUAUUAUUAAAUACAUAUACAACACAAAAUGACUAACGAAAAUUAGAUAUAAAUGAAACUACGGAUAAUCUAUGGCAUAAUACAGUGAACACGGAAGGGACAAGGUUAUAAAGAAUAAAAAGUAUACGGCAUAGUCACCUCGAAACAUUAUAUUCUCUUAAGUCUUGGCCGGUCGGAGGUGGAAGAAUAUUGCGAACGUUUUUUUUCUUUUUACUGUGCGUAACGAUAGUAACAAACGGCAAACAGAUGCGGUGUGUGAUGUUAUUGUCCAAGAUGACAGUGGUGAUUAAUAUGCGAUUAAGUUGCUACAGAUUCGGCGAUCACCGGCGACAUAACUCGGACAUCGAUAUCCGAAGACAGAAAAUACGAGGCAGCAAGUACAGCAACGCACAGGUUCUGGUAAUGGAUAAUAAUUAUGGCCUCGUCAGUUAUGUCAACGGUUAAAGAUAUGUCUUUAACAUAUGUCUAUAAUAUAAUGUCUGCAUCCGGUCGCCGUCGAUGUCCACACAUCAACAUCGGUACAGCUGAAAGUUAUAUUCCAACCAAAUCACUCGAACGCGCCUCUACUAUUAAUCGUUUACUGCUGUCCGCUGUCUGACUCGCCAGUAAAACUGUCUGCUGUCCAUUUCACCAUUGUCACUAGCCUCACUGUCAUGAUAUGUUAUAAUUGGUUGCUUUCGGUGAUUAAGGAUCUGCAUGUGUACAUAAAUUAUUAUUAUUUUCGUUAGUGUUGCGUGUACUGGUUAUAAUAUUGCAUUAUAAUAAUAUAUAUAUAUAUAUAUAUAUAUAUAUAUACAGUAGAAUCCGUUUAAUAGGGAUACAUUGGGCAUAUUAACCGAAUAACUAACAAACCGAUACAUGUCAGGACUAUGCCAAUAUUUCCCUAUUAUUAUUGUCCCUUUUAUGUGGUGUAUCGAAUAAGUUGAUUCUAAAGUAUAUAUAAUUAUUUAUAGAUAACUUGAAUACGACAACGAAUCUGUAUUUAAAGUUACUGUUUUUAUAACACAUGUAUUAUGUAUCUACGACAAAAUAUAAUAUUAAAAUCAGGGUCACCGAGAUAUAGUGUAUUCAUUUGUCUAUGUUUAGUCCACCAACUAUUUUUUUAUGUAUUUUAA